GAGAAAGGAAGGAGGCCAGACAGGUCUGAGCAGAGGCAGUUCGAGCAGGAAUACAUACACCCAAUACAAGAACACAGCAGCCUUGGAGAUAAGCCGAGAAGAUGUCAACACCCAACUUUGCAUUUGCUUUCAGUCAGUAGAUGCACAGUUUUCAAAAGAAGAGUCCCAGAGCAGGAAUGGAACUUGUAAGGGAAAAUUGUUAUUUGUAAGGUGGCGAGAAUAAAUAUUUAAUUAGGGCUCCGGGGCGGAGGGUCCUAGCAGAGGCCGCCGCGGUCUCCGGCUUAAAAGCACCGAGACUGCGGGGGACGAGAGCACUGCGCAGGCGCGAUGCGGCCGGGGCUGUCAGGACCAGCGGGGCGGAGCCAGGGCACCCGCCGUCUCCAGGCAACCGGGCGGCCAGAAGCGGACAACCCCUACCUCUACCUCGUCCUAGCAAUGGCGGCGGGAGGUGCGAGAGAGGAGAACAAUCCCUCUAGAUCGCCAUAGCAACGAGGGGAAGAAACUGACUGGUAAACGGACGGCGGUACGGAAGGAACGCUUUUACCGUGUCACCAUGGCAACUGGGAACAGCCCCUUCCCUUUUCCUUAGCAACAGGAUCUCCCAGUGAGCUACCACUGGAUCAGAGUGAUGGACCAAAGCUGUUCUCCUAGCAACGGAAGCGACACAUAACCGCUGCAGAGAAGACUUUCUGUCAGGCUGCCUCUUCUUGAAAAAACACAACAGAGGCCGAGUGAGAAGUAGCUACAGUUUAAUUCAAACCUGCACCAGAACACAACGUGUUGGGCUGUUUUGUUUUGCCUCAGACGGUGGCCAAAGCAUAGGGCCAUGUGUCGUCUUGG
rnacentral:lncRNA from 1 species